GCCCAGAUGGGAUUAGCUUGUUGGUGAGGUAACGGCUCACCAAGGCGACGAUCCCUAGCUGGUCUGAGAGGAUGACCAGCCACACUGGAACUGAGACACGGUCCAGACUCCUACGGGAGGCAGCAGUGGGGAAUAUUGCACAAUGGGCGCAAGCCUGAUGCAGCCAUGCCGCGUGUAUGAAGAAGGCCUUCGGGUUGUAAAGUACUUUCAGCGGGGAGGAAGGUGUUGUGGUUAAUAACCGCAGCAAUUGACGUUACCCGCAGAAGAAGCACCGGCUAACUCCGUGCCAGCAGCCGCGGUAAUACGGAGGGUGCAAGCGUUAAUCGGAAUUACUGGGCGUAAAGCGCACGCAGGCGGUCUGUCAAGUCGGAUGUGAAAUCCCCGGGCUCAACCUGGGAACUGCAUUCGAAACUGGCAGGCUUGAGUCUUGUAGAGGGGGGUAGAAUUCCAGGUGUAGCGGUGAAAUGCGUAGAGAUCUGGAGG
rnacentral:rRNA from 1 species